rnacentral:rRNA from 1 species
UGGGGAAUUUUGGACAAUGGGCGAAAGCCUGAUCCAGCAAUGCCGCGUGUGUGAAGAAGGCCUUCGGGUUGUAAAGCACUUUUGUCCGGAAAGAAAUCCUUGGCUCUAAUACAGUCGGGGGAUGACGGUACCGGAAGAAUAAGCACCGGCUAACUACGUGCCAGCAGCCGCGGUAAUACGUAGGGUGCAAGCGUUAAUCGGAAUUACUGGGCGUAAAGCGUGCGCAGGCGGUUUGCUAAGACCGAUGUGAAAUCCCCGGGCUCAACCUGGGAACUGCAUUGGUGACUGGCAGGCUAGAGUAUGGCAGAGGGGGGUAGAAUUCCACGUGUAGCAGUGAAAUGCGUAGAGAUGUGGAGGAAUACCGAUGGCGAAGGCAGCCCCCUGGGCCAAUACUGACGCUCAUGCACGAAAGCGUGGGGAGCAAACAGGAUUAGAUACCCUGGUAGUCCACGCCCUAAACGAUGUCAACUAGUUGUGGGGAUUCAUUCCUUAGUAACGUAGCUAACGCGUGAAGUUGACCGCCUGGGGAGUACGGUCGCAAGAUUAAAACUCAAAGGAAUUGACGGGGUCAUAGCUGUUU